GAUGAACGCUGGCGGCGUGCCUAAUACAUGCAAGUCGAGCGACCGGACGAGAAUCUUUCUUUUCUGCUGUUAGCGGCGGACGGGUGAGUAACACGUGGGUAUCCUACCUAUAAGACUGGGAUGACUUCGGGAAACCGGGGCUAAUACCUGCUACUUUUUUUAACUGCUUGGUUCACAAGUUAAAGGCGGUCUUACUGUCACUUAUAUAUGCAUCCGCGCUGCAUUAUCUAUGUGGUAAGGUCACGGCUCACCAAGGCAACGAUGCAUAGCCGACGUGAGAGGGGGGGCGGAAACACUGGAACGGAGACACGGUACAGACUAGUACGGGAGGCAGGAGAAGGGAGUCGAACGUAAGGGGAGAAAGCAUGACGGAGAAAAGCCGAGUGGGGGAUGAAGGGAUUCGGAUAGUAAAACUAUGUUAUUAGGGAAGAACAUAUGUGUAAGUAACUGUGCACAUCUUGAAGGUACCUAAUCAGAAAGCAACGGCUAACUACGUG
rnacentral:rRNA from 1 species